UUAAUGAUGACUCCGAGUGCAUUUGGCUCGAGACGUAAUGUCGAUGUGGAAAAACCCAAGCUACCUUUAUCUUUUUGUCUGACAA